GGAUGCUUGAGACUAGGAAAAGAAUUAUCUAGUUGUGAGCUGCCUCUGCUCUUGGGAAAUGCAGCAUCUUUAGUGAACAUAUGUGAAUCGUGGUGUGUUGGUUUCACAGCUGAUCUGGAGAUGAGCAGCUCUGUACUGAUUCUUCAGGAAACGCUCCUCAUCUGCUGGGGCUGAUGGUGCUGACUGCUCCUCCGUCUGCAGCAAUGGAGCAACCGUGGCUCAGAAGCCCACACACACUCAUGUGAAGCGUGGGUAGCUUGACGUGGUCUCACAAUAGGUCAAGUGCCCCAGUGCCAGUGGUGUCAGCACAGAUGGCCUCUGGGACAGAUUGCUCUAUCUCUGAGAUGUUUCGGAAGUGGUGGGCUGCAGUAAUCCUUCCCUAGCAGGGAGAAGUCCCAGAAAUCAGAAAGUUUCCUAUGCAAAAUCAAGUGUUUUCCUUCUUCUGCCACCUUUGUGGCUUCAAGUAGCUCAACUGAUUUCAGCACCUAAGAAAAAGUCGCAAGGGAAAUACAGACUCCUGGUCAAUGAAGUGCCACAUCUCUCUCUCCAGGUUCCUGUUUUUACAUCUGAAGAGCCACAGCUGAUCAGAGAAAUGUCAUUCACCCUAAGCAAUAAUGUCUUCAGGAAAAGAGGAACAAUAUUUUUGAUAAAAUGCUUAAACUGUUAUGGGACUUUGAAUAGAAUCUUGCUGUGGAGGAGAAGGCCCACAGGACAAAGUGCAGGAAAAAAAUGGGAGUGUUCUUGUUCAAACAGUGGGCUUGCUGGAGGAAGUGACUCCUGCCCAGUGCACCCAGUGGAUAUUCAGCUUUCUGAGGUCUCUGAGGGCAGAUUGAGUUGACAUCGUUUUGCUCCACAGAAUAAACUUACUGAAAGGGAUUGAGACCACUGGGAAAAAUGCCUGAUGUUAGAAGAUCUUCACCUCUCAUCCAGAUACUGUCCUACAGCAGUUUCCAGCAAUGAGUGGCACAUCUCUACACCCAACCUUUUCACAUACAGGAUGCCUAUUGCACUCCCAUUCUUUAGGACCCAGUCAUGAGGCAUGUGAAAGGCAGUGGGUGCUCCAUCCCUGGAACUGUUCAAAACCAGGUUGGAUGGAGCCCUGGGCAACCUGUUCUGGUACCAUGUCUGGAGGUUGGUGGCCCUGCAUGUGGUUGGGGCUUGAUGAUCCUUGGGGUCCCUUCCAACCCAAGCCGUUCUAUGAUUCUAUGAUUGUAUUAAUCCAUCAGAAUGGAGCUCUGUGGCAUUGGCAGUCACUGGCCGCAGACAACAGGGCACACACAAGCAAGUCUCAACAAGCAGCUUUGUGGUGUUUCACAUCCCAGAGCAUUCCAGGCAAGUUUAUUUACUGACUAAUGGCCCUUUUGCUUCAGUGAGACUCUUCCUUCUUGAAGGAAGUUCACAUCACGAAACCCAGAGCUUAGCAGAAAGGAUACAGAUCUCUGUUUUAAACAGAAAUCGAUUUCAGU
ensembl:lncRNA